GUUGUAUAGUCAAGUAAUUAAGUGCAUGUGGUGGAUGCCUUGGCAGUCAGAGGCGAUGAAAGACGUGAUAGCCUGCGAAAAGCUCCGGGGAGGCGGCAAAUAUCCUUUGAUCCGGAGAUGUCUGAAUGGGGGAACCCACCUACUUUAAGGUAGGUAUUGCAACAUGAAUACAUAGUGUUGCAAGGCGAACGAGGGGAAGUGAAACAUCUCAGUACCCUUAGGAAAAGAAAUCAAUUGAGAUUCCCUCAGUAGCGGCGAGCGAACGGGGAUCAGCCCAUUAAGUUAUGUGUGUUUUAGUGGAACGCUCUGGGAAGUGCGAACGUAGAGGGUGAUAUUCCCGUACACGAAAGGGCACACAUAAUGAUGACGAGUAGGGCGAGGCACGUGAAACCUUGUCUGAAUAUGGGGGGACCAUCCUCCAAGGCUAAAUACUCCUGACUGACCGAUAGUGAACCAGUACCGUGAGGGAAAGGCGAAAAGAACCCCUGUGAGGGGAGUGAAAUAGAUCCUGAAACCGCAUGCAUACAAGCAGUGGGAGCACCUUCGUGGUGUGACUGCGUACCUUUUGUAUAAUGGGUCAGCGACUUAUAUUCAGUAGCGAGGUUAACCGUAUAGGGGAGCCGUAGAGAAAUCGAGUCUUAAUAGGGCGUUUAGUUGCUGGGUAUAGACCCGAAACCAGGCGAUCUAUCCAUGAGCAGGUUGAAGGUUGGGUAACACUAACUGGAGGACCGAACCCACUGUCGUUGAAAAGCCAGGGGAUGACUUGUGGAUAGGGGUGAAAGGCUAAUCAAGCCUGGUGAUAGCUGGUUCUCCCCGAAAGCUAUUUAGGUAGCGCCUCGGACGAAUACCAUAGGGGGUAGAGCACUGUUUCGGCUAGGGGGUCAUCCCGACUUACCAAACCGAUGCAAACUCCGAAUACCUAUGAGUACUAUCCGGGAGACAGACUGCGGGUGCUAACGUCCGUAGUCAAGAGGAAAACAAUCCAGACCGCCAGCUAAGGCCCCAAAAUCAUAGUUAAGUGGGAAACGAUGUGGGAAGGCAUAGACAGCUAGGAGGUUGGCUUANGAAGCAGCCACCCUUUAAAGAAAGCGUAAUAGCUCACUAGUCGAGUCGGCCUGCGCGGAAGAUGUAACGGGGCUAAAACUAUGUGCCGAAGCUGCGGAUGUAUACUUUGUAUACGUGGUAGGGGAGCGUUCUGUAAGCCGAUGAAGGUGUGUUGAGAAGCNNNAUGCUGGAGGUAUCAGAAGUGCGAAUGCUGACGUGAGUAACGACAAAACGGGUGAAAAACCCGUUCGCCGAAAGACCAAGGGUUCCAGUCCAACGUUAAUCGGGGCUGGGUGAGUCGACCCCUAAGGCGAGGCCGAAAGGCGUAGUCGAUGGGAAAAUGGUUAAUAUUCCAUUACUUCUGUGUAAUGCGAUGAGAGGACGGAGAAGGCUAAAUCAGCCUGGCGUUGGUUGUCCAGGUGAAAGGAUGUAGGCAUGUAUCUUAGGCAAAUCCGGGGUACUCUAUGCUGAGAUCUGAUAGCAAGCUGUACUUGUACAGCGAAGUGGUUGAUGCCAUGCUUCCAGGAAAAGUCUCUAAGCUUCAGUUACACAGGAAUCGUACCCGAAACCGACACAGGUGGUCAGGUCGAGUAGACCAAGGCGCUUGAGAGAACUCUGCUGAAGGAACUAGGCAAAAUGGUACCGUAACUUCGGGAGAAGGUACGCUGUUGUUGGUGAUGGAACUCGCUUCCUGAGCUGACGACAGCCGCAGAAACCAGGCCGCUGCAACUGUUUAUUAAAAACAUAGCACUCUGCAAACACGAAAGUGGACGUAUAGGGUGUGAUGCCUGCCCGGUGCUGGAAGGUUAAUUGAUGGGGUUAGCGUAAGCGAAGCUCUUGAUCGAAGCCCCAGUAAACGGCGGCCGUAACUAUAACGGUCCUAAGGUAGCGAAAUUCCUUGUCGGGUAAGUUCCGACCUGCACGAAUGGCAUAAUGAUGGCGGCGCUGUCUCCAGCAGAGGCUCAGUGAAAUCGAAAUCGCUGUGAAGAUGCAGUGUACCCGCGGCUAGACGGAAAGACCCCGUGAACCUUUACUGCAGCUUGACACUGAACUUUGACCUUACUUGUGUAGGAUAGGUGGGAGGCUUUGAAGCUGGAACGCUAGUUCCAGUGGAGCCGUCCUUGAAAUACCACCCUGGUAAUGUUGAGGUUCUAACUCUGUCCCGUGAUCCGGGACGAGGACCGUGUCUGGUGGGUAGUUUGACUGGGGCGGUCUCCUCCUAAAGAGUAACGGAGGAGUACGAAGGUGCGCUCAGCGUGGUCGGAAAUCACGCGUAGAGUAUAAAGGCAAAAGCGCGCUUAACUGCGAGACCCACAAGUCGAGCAGGUACGAAAGUAGGUCUUAGUGAUCCGGUGGUUCUGUAUGGAAGGGCCAUCGCUCAACGGAUAAAAGGUACUCUGGGGAUAACAGGCUGAUACCGCCCAAGAGUUCAUAUCGACGGCGGUGUUUGGCACCUCGAUGUCGGCUCAUCUCAUCCUGGGGCUGAAGCAGGUCCCAAGGGUAUGGCUGUUCGCCAUUUAAAGAGGUACGCGAGCUGGGUUUAGAACGUCGUGAGACAGUUCGGUCCCUAUCUACCGUGGGCGCUGGAAAUUUGAGAGGAUCUGCUCCUAGUACGAGAGGACCAGAGUGGACGAACCUCUGGUGUACCGGUUGUGACGCCAGUCGCAUCGCCGGGUAGCUAUGUUCGGAAGGGAUAACCGCUGAAAGCAUCUAAGCGGGAAGCCUACCUCAAGAUAAGAUUUCCCUAGGACUUUAUGUCCUCUAAAGAGCCGUUCGAGACUAGGACGUUGAUAGGUUGGAUGUGGAAGCAUAGUGAUAUGUGAAGCUGACCAAUACUAAUUGCUCGUGAGGCUUGACUAUACAACACCCAAGCAGUUG
rnacentral:rRNA from 1 species